rfam:Canis lupus familiaris chromosome 36, whole genome shotgun sequence.
AGGAGCAACAGCCCUAGUGGCGGGGCCAGCUCUGGAGCCCUGGAUUCAGCCCCCGCAGUAGCUCGGGAGCUCUCCGUCUGCAGGGCCUGGAGGCUCCGGGCGGGG